GCCUAACACAUGCAAGUCGAACGGAGAAUCUCUCUGAGUUUACUUAGAGAAGUUUUUAGUGGCGGACGGGUGAGUAACGCGUGGGUAACCUACCCAUAAAGCCGGGACAACCCUUGGAAACGAGGGCUAAUACCGGAUAAUCUUAAGAACUGGCAUCAGUUUUUAAGGAAAGGUGGCCUCUGAAAAUGCUACCGAUUAUGGAUGGACCCGCGUCUGAUUAGCUAGAUGGUGGGGUAAAGGCCUACCAAGGCGACGAUCAGUAGCCGGCCUGAGAGGGUGAACGGCCACACUGGGACUGAGACACGGCCCAGACUCCUACGGGAGGCAGCAGUGGGGAAUCUUCCGCAAUGGACGAAAGUCUGACGGAGCAACGCCGCGUGUAUGAUGAAGGUCUUCGGAUUGUAAAGUACUGUCUUUGGGGAAGAACGAUCGGAUUGAGAAUAUUGAUUCGAUAUGACGGUACCCAAGGAGGAAGCCCCGGCUAACUACGUGCCAGCAGCCGCGGUAAUACGUAGGGGGCAAGCGUUGUCCGGAAUUAUUGGGCGUAAAGGGCGCGUCGCGGGCAUUUAAGCCCUGGUGUGAAAGAUCUGGGCUCAACCCCGAGAGU
rnacentral:rRNA from 1 species